ensembl:lncRNA
GACGUGACACUUCUUCAUCGAAUUGAUGACUCAGACUAGUCUUUUUGAGGGGGGAAAAACUGAAAACUAAUGUAACCCUUGUUACUUUUUAUGCUUUCACUAAUUAGCGGUUUAAGCUGUGGGAAGAAUACAUUAAGAUUCUGCCUCAGUCCUGCGUUUUCUCGAUAAGAAGAAACUGCUAUGCGGUUAUAAGUAAGCAAUGAUGCUUGUGCCCUGUAUUUUUAGGAUUAUGUUGCCAGAACCGCACUAGCUGAGGCGGUUUCAACCCACGAGCAGAGCCGCAUGUAGCGUGACAAGCUCCCGCAGCCCUGCGCGCUCUCUGCUGUCGACAGUGAAGUCAGGCACACGACAUCAGAGUGAGCAAAUGACGACAGAGUUUCCAUCCACAACUGCAGAGUAUAGAGUCAAACAGAAACAACGCAAAUGCUGAGUUUGCUUAGUGAAUUAUUUAUGCAGUAACGUUACCGUGUGUUCCUGACGUACUGCCGGGAGAUGUGACUAACUCCGUGCCGUGUGCUCCAGCUACUGUAACGCUGAAGCAGUGGCCCACAUUUGAAUCAACUAGUCACUAGCAAACAGUUUCUUAACAAUGAAUUAAAGAAAACUUUGGUUGGAUCCUUUCAACUGCUGUGGCACGGAUUCAUACGGCCUGAAUGUACGAGGAACACAAUGCGAGAGGAAUAAACAGGGCUGGUAUGCUGACCAAGGAUUACUUUAUCAGGUCAGAAUUAACCCCUUAUACAGUAAAUGUAUAUGUUUUUGCUUUGUGUGAACCAUCCCUUGAAAAUAUAGCUAAAUGAUUUGAUUCAACUGUAGCCUACAGUUAAGCAGGAUACCAAUAGCUGCUAUGUUAUUUUAUUAUGCUCUUUUUAUUAUAAGCUCCAUAAAAAUCAAUGAUCAAGUCAAAGUGAACAAAUAUUCUAUUAACCAUAGGUUCAGGCAGCUGUUUCCUCAUCUAUGCAAAUACUGUUUCUCAGUUCCAACAUCAGUUCAACUACAGCUCAUCCGUAUGUGAGGAGGCCACAUCUGUGCAAUCUAGUUUUAAAACGUCCAAAAGUGAGACAGCAGGUGGAGCUGUUCACAUGUUUUUUCUCUUAUGCGCAUAUGAAAUGCUCAGAUCAG